rnacentral:rRNA from 1 species
UGGGGAAUCUUGGACAAUGGGCGCAAGCCUGAUCCAGCCAUGCCGCGUGGAUGAUGAAGGCCUUAGGGUUGUAAAAUCCUUUCGUUGGGGACGAUAAUGACGGUACCCAAAGAAGAAGCUCCGGCUAACUUCGUGCCAGCAGCCGCGGUAAUACGAAGGGGGCUAGCGUUGUUCGGAUUUACUGGGCGUAAAGCGCGUGUAGGCGGACUUGUAAGUUGGGGGUGAAAUCCCGAGGCUCAACCUCGGAACUGCCUCCAAAACUACAAAUCUGGACCUAAGUAGAGGCAAGUGGAAUUGCGAGUGUAGAGGUGAAAUUCGUAGAUAUUCGCAGGAACACCAGUGGCGAAGGCGACUUGCUGGACUUAUGGUGACGCUGAGACGCGAAAGCGUGGGGAGCAAACAGGAUUAGAUACCCAGGUAGUCCCUGAGCGGGCUGGCAAGGCGCAU